rnacentral:rRNA from 1 species
UAUAUACAACUUUCAGCAACGGAUCUCUUGGCUCUCGCAUCGAUGAAGAACGCAGCGAAAUGCGAUAAGUAAUGUGAAUUGCAGAAUUCAGUGAAUCAUCGAAUCUUUGAACGCACCUUGCGCUCCUUGGUAUUCCGAGGAGCAUGCCUGUUUGA